rnacentral:lncRNA from 1 species
UUGGAGGCAUGGUUAAAGAAAAAGUAAGUGAUGAUUGAGAAGUGAGAGAAGUUAAGAAGUUCCUUUUAACUUGACUCUUAAUGUGUUAGUGAGGAGAAGCACAUUAAUAUAUAUAUAGCCUCCUUUGGAUGGUGGAAUCCACUUUUUUUUUCCCUUCAAAUUAUUCUCUGAGAAGGAAAAUUGAAUGGUGCAAUACUGCAUAUUUAUUGGAAUUGAUAUCCUUGAUUUGACUCUUGAGGAAAACACACAAUAUUAAAUUAAAAAUGAGCCAAUU